AUUGAACGCUGGCGGCGUGCCUAACACAUGCAAGUCGAGCGGUAACAGGUGUAGCAAUACAUGCUGACGAGCGGCGGACGGGUGAGUAACGCUUGGGAAUCUGCCUAUUAGUGGGGGACAACCCGGGGAAACUCGGGCUAAUACCGCAUACGCACUACGGUGGAAAGCCGGGGACCGCAAGGCCUGGCGCUAACAGAUGAGCCCAAGUCGGAUUAGCUAGUUGGUAGGGUAACGGCCACCAAGGCGACGAUCCGUAACUGGUCUGAGAGGACGACCAGUCACACCGGAACUGAGACACGGUCCGGACUCCUACGGGAGGCAGCAGUGGGGAAUAUUGGACAAUGGGCGAAAGCCUGAUCCAGCGACGCCGCGUGGGUGAAGAAGGCCUGCGGGUUGUAAAGCCCUUUCAGUGGGGAAGAAAAGCCUCGAGCUAACACCUCGGGGUCUUGACGUAACCCAUAGAAGAAGCACCGGCUAACUCUGUGCCAGCCG
rnacentral:rRNA from 1 species